rnacentral:rRNA from 1 species
AUUGAACGCUGGCGGCAGGCUUAACACAUGAAAGUCGAGCGAGCGGAGGACGGGUGAGUAAUGUCUGGGCAACUCCCUGAUGGAGGGGGAUAACGACUGGAACGGGUAGCGAAUACCGCAUACAAUCAGAUGUGCCCAGAUGGGAUUAGCUAGAAGGUGGGGUAAUGGCUACCCUAGGCGACGAUCCCUCGCGGGUCUGAGAGGAUGACCAGCCACACUGGAACUGAGACACGGUCCAGACUCUGACGGGAGGCAGCAGGGGGGAAUAUUGCACAAUGGGCGCAAGCCGGAUGCAGCCAUGCCGCGUGUGUGAAGAAGGCCUUCGGGUUGUAAAGCACUUUCAGCGAGGAGGCGUUACUCGCAGAAGAAGCACCGGCUAACUCCGUGCCAGCAGCCGCGGUAAUAC